rnacentral:rRNA from 1 species
GAUGAACGCUAGCGGCAGGCCUAAUACAUGCAAGUCGGACGGGAUCCAUUGAUAGCUUGCUAUCAAUGGUGAGAGUGGCGCACGGGUGCGUAACGCGUGAGCAACCUGCCUCCAUCAGGGGGAUAGCCUCUCGAAAGAGAGAUUAACACCGCAUAAUAUCAACAGUUCGCAUGUUCAGUUGAUUAAAUAUUUAUAGGAUGGAGAUGGGCUCGCGUGACAUUAGCUAGUUGGUAGGGUAACGGCUUACCAAGGCGACGAUGUCUAGGGGCUCUGAGAGGAGAAUCCCCCACACUGGUACUGAGACACAGACCAGACUCCUACGGGAGGCAGCAGUAAGGAAUAUUGGUCAAUGGGCGGAAGCCUGAACCAGCCAUGCCGCGUGCAGGAUGACUGCCCUAUGGGUUGUAAACUGCUUUUGUCCAGGAAUAAACCUAAAUACGAGUAUUUAGCUGAAUGUACUGGAAGAAUAAGGAUCGGCUAACUCCGUG